UACGAAGGGGGCUAGCGUUGCUCGGAAUCACUGGGCGUAAAGCGCACGUAGGCGGACUCUUAAGUCAGUGGUGAAAUCCUGGAGCUCAACUCCAGAACUGCCUUCGAUACUGAGAGUCUCGAGUCCGGGAGAGGUGAGUGGAACUGCGAGUGUAGAGGUGAAAUUCGUAGAUAUUCGCAAGAACACCAGUGGCGAAGGCGGCUCACUGGCCCGGUACUGACGCUGAGGUGCGAAAGCGUGGGGAGCAAACAGG
rnacentral:rRNA from 1 species